ACGCUAGCUACAGGCUUAACACAUGCAAGUCGAGGGGAAACGGCAUUUAGUGCUUGCACCGAAUGGACGUCGACCGGCGCACGGGUGAGUAACGCGUAUCCAACCUACCCAUUACUGUGGGAUAACCUGCCGAAAGGCAGACUAAUACCGCAUAGUCUUCGAUGACGGCAUCAGAUUUGAAGUAAAGAUUUAUCGGUAAUGGAUGGGGAUGCGUCUGAUUAGCUUGUUGGCGGGGUAACGGCCCACCAAGGCAACGAUCAGUAGGGGUUCUGAGAGGAAGGUCCCCCACAUUGGAACUGAGACACGGUCCAAACUCCUACGGGAGGCAGCAGUGAGGAAUAUUGGUCAAUGGACGAGAGUCUGAACCAGCCAAGUAGCGUGCAGGAUGACGGCCCUAUGGGUUGUAAACUGCUUUUGUAUGGGGAUAAAGUCAAUCACGUGUGAUUGUUUGCAGGUACCAUACGAAUAAGGACCGGCUAAUUCCGUGCCAGCAGCCGCGGUAAUACGGAAGGUCCGGGCGUUAUCCGGAUUUAUUGGGUUUAAAGGGAGCGUAGGCCGGAGAUUAAGUGUGUUGUGAAAUGUAGACGCUCAACGUCUGACUUGCAGCGCAUACUGGUUUCCUUGAGUACGCACAACGUUGGCGGAAUUCGUCGUGUAGCGGUGAAAUGCUUAGAUAUGACGAAGAACUCCGAUUGCGAAGGCAGCUGACGGGAGCGCAACUGACGCUUAAGCUCGAAGGUGCGGGUAUCGAACAGGAUUAGAUACCCUGGUAGUCCGCACAGUAAACGAUGGAUGCCCGCUGUUGGUACCUGGUAUCAGCGGCUAAGCGAAAGCAUUAAGCAUCCCACCUGGGGAGUACGCCGGCAACGGUGAAACUCAAAGGAAUUGACGGGGGCCCGCACAAGCGGAGGAACAUGU
rnacentral:rRNA from 1 species